rnacentral:rRNA from 1 species
AACGAACGCUGGCGGCAUGCCUAACACAUGCAGGUCGAACGAGACCUUCGGGUCUAGUGGCGAACGGGUGCGUAACGCGUGGGAACCUGCCCUUAGGUUCGGAAUAACUCCCCGAAAGGGGUGCUAAUACCGGAUAAUGUCUUCGGACCAAAGAUUUAUCGCCUUUGGAUGGGCCCGCGUUGGAUUAGCUAGUUGGUAGGGUAAAAGCCUACCAAGGCGACGAUCCAUAGCUGGUCUGAGAGGAUGAUCAGCCACACUGGGACUGAGACACGGCCCAGACUCCUACGGGAGGCAGCAGUGGGGAAUAUUGGACAAUGGGCGAAAGCCUGAUCCAGCAAUGCCGCGUGAGUGAUGAAGGCCUUAGGGUUGUAAAGCUCUUUUACCCGGGAUGAUAAUGACAGUACCGGGAGAAUAAGCUCCGGCUAACUCCGUG